UCUCCCCUUCCUGGGACCCUGAAAAUGGGUGUGGGCCCCCGGUUCUCAGGAAGGGACUUUGCUCGAGACUGGGGCCCCACCCCAGUGGAUCGUUAACCGGGAUGUGAGGAGCAGCUGUGGGCUGACAGAAGCCUCACCCUUUUCCCCCUUCUCUCCUUUCUGCCUCUCUGGAUCUCCCCCUCGGCCGCCUGUAAUGGGAGAGCAUCUGGGGGCAAGACCUGGGUUCAAGUCCCACUUCCACCCCUUGUUGACAGUGGACCUUAGACAGGUCAUUUCUCUUGAGACUCAGUUUAUUCUUCUGGAAAAUGGGGCUGAUGUCACCCCCUGCCCGCAGAGUUGUGGCUACAAGGGAAAAGUGUCUGCUGUCUGGGGAACCCCAUCCACGACAAUCGGUUUUGGAGUCAGACAACCUGAGUAUCCCAAAUUCUCUUCUGUGGCUUCUCACCGCACCCUCCUGCCCCAGCCUCAGGAAUUUUGCCACCUGGAGAACCAAGUCAUCUGAGGAACGGAGAGGUGUGGAAUCAUGGGAUGAAAAAGAAUAUAUAUUUUAAAAUUAUGGACCAUAAUGUGGAGAAUUGCGUGACAUAGAAUGUUCCAUUUUGUGAACAGUUAGGCUCAGAAAUGGUUCUGCCAUUUCCUCAGAAGCCUCUUCAGAACUCACUUGCCUCUCCCUCCUCUCAAGGAUAGAGGCUCAAUGAAUAUUUACUGAAUGAAUGAAUCUGAGACUCCAGGGAUCCAAGAUACUUGCCAUGGUGGAACUUUAGGAGCAAAGACGAACAGAAUUUAAGUCAUGAAGAAUGAUCAGGUCAGAGAGUCUUAGGAGCUAAAGAAUGAUCAAAAAGCAUCUUUGGGGCUUCCCUGGUGGUGCAGUGGUUGAGAGUCCGCCUGCCGAUGCAGGGGACACGGGUUCAUGCCCCGGUCCGGGAGGAUCCCACGUGCCGCGGAGCGGCUGGGCCCG